GUAGUUUGAUCAUGGCUCAGAACGAACGCUGGCGGCGUGCCUAACACAUGCAAGUCGAACGACGAAGUGCAGGGCUUCGGUCUGCUAGUAAAGUGGCGCACGGGUGAGUAACAACGUGGGUAACGUACAUCGUAGUGGGGGAUAACCAGGUGAAAGCUUGGCUAAUACCGCAUGAGUCUGUCGGGACGCGAGUCCUGAUAGGGAAAGUGGAGGCAAUCCACGCUACGAGAUCGGCCCGCGGCCCAUUAGCUAGUUGGCGGGGUAACGGCCACCAAGGCGACGAUGGGUAGCUGGUCUGACGAGGAUGAUCAG
rnacentral:rRNA from 1 species